UACGUAGGGUGCAAGCGUUGUCCGGAAUUAUUGGGCGUAAAGAGCUCGUAGGCGGUUUGUCGCGUCGAAUGUGAAAACCCGGGGCUCAACCCCGGGCCUGCAUUCGAUACGGGCAGACUAGAGUUCGGUAGGGGAGAUCGGAAUUCCUGGUGUAGCGGUGGAAUGCGCAGAUAUCAGGAGGAACACCGAUGGCGAAGGCAGCUCGCUGGGACGGUACUGACGCUGAGGCGCGAAAGCGUGGGGAGCGAACAGG
rnacentral:rRNA from 1 species